UACGGGGGGGGCAAGCGUUGUUCGGAAUUACUGGGCGUAAAGGGCUCGUAGGCGGCCAACUAAGUCAUACGUGAAAUCCCUCGGCUUAACCGGGGGAACUGCGUCUGAUACUGGAUGGCUUGAGUUCGGGAGAGGGAUGCGGAAUUCCAGGUGUAGCGGUGAAGUGCGUAGAUAUCUGGAGGAACACCGGUGGCGAAGGCGGCAUCCUGGACCGAUACUGACGCUGGAUGAGCGAAAGCCAGGGGAGCAAACGGGG
rnacentral:rRNA from 1 species